GAUGAACGCUGGCGGCGUGCCUAAUACAUGCAAGUCGAGCGAACAGAUGAGGAGCUUGCUCCUCUGACGUUAGCGGCGGACGGGUGAGUAACACGUGGAUAACCUACCUAUAAGACUGGGAUAACUUCGGAAAACCGGAGCUAAUACCGGAUAAUAUAUUGAACCGCAUGGUUCAAUAGUGAAAGACGGUUUUGCUGUCACUUAUAGAUGGAUCCGCGCCGCAUUAGCUAGUUGGUAAGGUAACGGCUUACCAAGGCAACGAUGCGUAGCCGACCUGAGAGGGUGAUCGGCCACACUGGAACUGAGACACGGUCCAGACUCCUACGGGAGGCAGCAGUAGGGAAUCUUCCGCAAUGGGCGAAAGCCUGACGGAGCAACGCCGCGUGAGUGAUGAAGGUCUUCGGAUCGUAAAACGCUGUUAUUAGGGAAGAACAAAUGUGUAAGUAACUAUGCACGUCUUGACGGUACCGAAUCAGAAAGCCACGGCUAACUACGU
rnacentral:rRNA from 1 species